UGCCUGCGUCACCUUGGAUGUUAUAAUUGAAAAAAUAAAAUAAAUUGCACCAGGCUAAGCACUAACGUGUGUGGGACUCCAGCUACAAUGGUUCUUAUUGUAGAUUUUACUUUAUCAGCCUGUGCAUAAAUUUUUUAUUUGGUCUGUCUUUAGAUGCAUUUGCAAGAUAGUUCAUCCAAGGAUCCACAUCUGUCAGCAUAUCAAAAGUAAAAAAGCAUAUUGUGAAAAUCCUAGUAAUAAAUUAAAAUGACAGUACCCUGACUUUUGAUAACUAGUAUGAUCAGGUAUGAUCCAAUACCACCAGUUGCCUUCCUGUUUAUUUGAUAACUUGAUAAAAUAACUGAACUACAGUUAAUGUCUUCCUAUUUCAUACAUAAUCUAUGAAGCCUCAGUAAAAUUUGCAUAGCUCAUCGCACUAUCGACUGUUUAACUUUGAAGCACUGAAGAAGAAGGUGAGAA